rnacentral:rRNA from 1 species
GAUGAACGCUGGCGGCGUGCCUAAUACAUGCAAGUCGAGCGAACAGAUAAGGAGCUUGCUCCUUUGACGUUAGCGGCGGACGGGUGAGUAACACGUGGAUAACCUACCUAUAAGACUGGGAUAACUUCGGGAAACCGGAGCUAAUACCGGAUAACAUAUUGAACCGCAUGGUUCAAUAGUGAAAGGCGGCUUUGCUGUCACUUAUAGAUGGAUCCGCGCCGUAUUAGCUAGUUGGUAAGGUAACGGCUUACCAAGGCAACGAUACGUGGCCGACCUGAGAGGGUGAUCGGCCACACUGGAACUGAGUCACGGUCCAGACUCCUACGGGAGGCAGCAGUAGGGAAUCUUCCGCAAUGGGCGAAAGCCUGACGGAGCAACGCCGCGUGAGUGAUGAAGGUCUUCGGAUCGUAAAACUCUGUUAUCAGGGAAGAACAAAUGUGUAAGUAACUGUGCACAUCUUGACGGUACCUGAUCAGAAAGCCACGGCUAACUACGUG